AACUACAUACAAGGUGAGAGUGAAGUUGACAUCACAAACAGACAACGUAAAGAAUUUCCCAAGUGGUUCAAAGAUCGCAUGACUCAACUUCGAAACCAGCGAUCACCGGAAGCUACUGAUGAAUUAUGGUCAUUGGCCAACGGUCCUCGUCCGAUAGUCAACAUAUAUUCAGGGUGCUUUUGUAACGGUGUCCGAUUCCAUCAUAAUGGGGCCACGUAUUCAACUGGUGGUACAAAUACUCGUUGAUACAUGGUGGAGUUAUGAGCAUGUGAAAUCUAGUUUCUGGUACAUGGAUAGCUUUUGUUCAGAUGAUCAUGGUAGAGUUGUCUACAAGCAGAAUCCAGUUUUUGGUAUAAGAAUAUUUUUGUCUACAUGAUAGUUGUUUGGAUGAAUAGCAAGAUCAGAUAUUUUGGGAUUUUUAAUUUACAUUUUGAUGUGUUUGGUGAUGAUUAUCACCUUAACAUAUGGUAUGGAUGAAAUAUUGUGAUGUAUGGGUAAUAGGUAUGCUUGACUUUAGACUUAUAGAUGAUAUUUAUAAUGAAUGAUUAUGGAUUCUCCAA